CCGGCCGCGCGGGGGCUGGCGGGCCGUUCAUCUCGAGACAGCCUGUGUCGUCAAUGAGGCCGGGCUGGGAUACGUGAGGACACAUGCCAAUGAGGGCAAGGACAUGGCAGACCCCCGGAGAAAGGUGGUUUCAAGGCAGAGGGGGAGAGUUUUGUGCACGGGCCUGGAGUGAUUGGAUUUCUCUCUCUCUCCCCCCUCUUGCCCUUCAGCGUUGAUUUCGAAAAGCCCGAGUCACCCUCAGAAAGGUACGUAAGAAAAACAAAGAGCCUGUCCGCUGGCUGCAGGAGGCCUUUGACCUGGCAAACAUGGAAGAAAUGACAAGAAGCAAAAGCCAAGGAGAAGGAGGCUUUCCUGGGGGCGAUGGAACAAGAGCUAACUCCCCAGAGCGUCUCUUCUGGGAUGAGAGAGCGCGGAAACACUGGCAUACAAGGCUCAUUUUGCCUGGCGUGGAAAUACAGCCACCUGGCGUGGAAGGAUACAUACAGCGAUGCCAGGGAGUGUGAAAUGAAAUCACCCUCAGCAAGAACAUGGGGGAAUUUGGCCAACACAAUGAGCCCCUCCCAAACUCUGCUCUCUCCCCACUUGUGAUGCCAAAAGAAGACACUGCUCACUGUAGAUUGUGCAGACCUUUCUGGCAUGACCUCACUCCUCCUGUCCGGUUUGCUUGGACAGAGUAACAACGUUGGCAUUAAACGUGUCAUCAGUA